rnacentral:rRNA from 1 species
UACGGAGGGUGCGAGCGUUGUCCGGAAUCAUUGGGCGUAAAGGGCGCGUAGGCGGCUUCUCAAGCGUGCGGUGAAAGUCAGGGGCUCAACCCCUGAUCGGCCGUGCGAACUGGGGGGCUGGAGCACUGUAGAGGCAGGCGGAAUUCCGGGUGUAGCGGUGGAAUGCGUAGAGAUCCGGAGGAAGGCCGGUGGCGAAGGCGGCGCUCUGGAACAUUUCUGACGCUGAGGCUCGAAAGCGUGGGGAGCAAACAGG